rnacentral:rRNA from 1 species
AUGUCACCCCACUUCUACGUGUUUGAGUUCUUAAGAGACUAUGGGCACUUAGCCCCCUUGGUCAUUGGUGAGGUGUAUUCAUCUGAAACAGGAGGAUGGGUUCGUAAGGAGAAUGAAGUGGACAAUGAUUUUAGAUUUCCCCAUAGGUUGCCAGCUGUCUUUUUCAACGGUUGUAUGCAUUAUCUCACCAACAAGGCUUCUAUAGCCGUGGUGGACACCGGGGGGAAAGCUUGCCAAUACAUACCUGUCCCUGUCCCUGGUGAGCAGGAGUUCGGUUUCAUUCAGCUGUCCCAAGGACGUUUGCAUUAUGCCAAUUUUGAGGCAGACCAUGAAGACGAGGUGGUUCGACUAGUGGUUUAUGUUCUUGAGGACUACGACAGGCAACGAUGGACAUUGAAGCAUACCGCUGAAGCUCCAUAUAUACUUGGAUGGCCAAGUGGUUUAUAUGAACCUGGAUGGAAUAAUUCUAUUAAUCUUGCAGAGGAGUUUGAGUGGGUUGCAGUUCAUCCAGACUGUAACAUGAUCUUCUACACUCUCGAGUCGGAUAAAAUAUUGAUGUCCUACGAUAUGGAUCGUCGGCAAGUCCAAGAGAUAUUCACUCUUGGAGCCGACACUCGGGAGACAUAUCUUCCGUAUGUGCCAUUGUUCUCGGAGUUACAAGCUUUGCACAUAUGA